CGUAACAAAGGGAAGCGAACCUGUGAGGGGGAGGCAAAUCCCAAAAAUAACGUCCCAGUUCGGACUGUAGUCUGCAACCCGACUACACGAAGCUGGAAUCGCUAGUAAUCGCGAAUCAGAAUGUCGCGGUGAGUACGUUCCCGGGUCUUGUACACACCGCCCGUCACACCAUGGGAGUCGGGAAUGCCCGAAGUCAGUGACCCAACCUUUGGAGGGAGCUGCCGAAGGCAGGUCUGAUAACUGGGGUGAAGUCGUAACAAGGUAUC
rnacentral:rRNA from 1 species